rnacentral:lncRNA from 1 species
GCACAGCCAGCUCAUGCCGGUGCUCCCCACCUGUCUCUUUGCCGUCCAUCCGAGGAAUGGGGAGUUUCGGCCGCAGAGCACGAAGGAAACAACCCCCGCAUGGCGCACGGGCAUGGCCGGGGGAACGGAAACAACUGUGCCCGCAAGGUGCUCGUCCAAAUGCGCCAAAGGGGGGGGCAAGACCGUUGUUCCGGCAGCGCGCGGGGGGCCUCACCUCAGGUUUGUAAACCUUCUUGUCUUCAAUCAGUUUGUUUAUGCUAAUGUCAUGUCAUGUCAUAAUGGCGCCCCGCCCUCCUCCUCUUUGGUACGUAAAACCUUGCAAAAACUUGGACCUCCUCCCCUUCUAAUGUGGUAUAUGGCAGAGCUGCUGCUAAUGUUUCAAAACUGACGUCCCCACAACACUUCUAACAGACUGUACACUUUUCAAUGUAGUGUACUUCGUUAACAUUGUCCAAACAAAGCAGAGCACAAAGUUAGGUCCCAUGGCUUAUUAGUUACUCACUCCGUCCACAAAAGAAUGCAACUAUGAGUUAUGGGCAGGUCAAACCAGUUUAACUUUGACCAAGUUUGUAGUGAAUAAUAUUAACAUUUAUGUCUCCAACUAGAUAUACUAUGAAAAUAUAUUUCAUAAUCAAUUUAACGAUACUUAUUUUGUCUCAUAAAUCUUAGUAUAUUUUUAUAUAAUUUUAGUCCAACUUUAAAUUGUUUGACUUCUUGAAAAGCGAGAAUUGCAUUCUUUUGUGGGUGGAGGGAGUACCCUUGAGUCUCUUGCAGGUACGGUCCUAGGUGUCCGAAUAUUUUGCCCCCAAUGACAUGUGGAUUCUUACAUGUUUCACUAAAAUCGGCAAUGAUACCCGUCACUCUUCUUUUUUUUUUUCUUUUGCAUAUACCAUGUUGUUCAAAGUUUAUCCGUGUUGCUAUCCCGUCCAAAUAGACCUGCAAAACUAUUUUUAUCUACAUAUAUCAAGUCAGAAUUCUGGUACUACCAACAUAUUUUUAAGAUGUUAGGAAUGGAAAUCAUAUGCUGAGUAUUGUUUCAACAAUUGUUCCAUGAUCGUAUUCCACUAUAAAUUAAUGGAAGCAAAAAGAACAAAACUUUGAAGGCUUGUCAUUGUCCAAAAUGACAUCUCUUUUUGUCACCCGAGGUAGUAUGUAGUGUUCUCUUAAAAUUCCAAUUCUAGGAUAGUAUUGCACAAGUAUAUAUAUGUAGAUCUAAGUUACCCUACCCUUUAUUAACAUUCACAACUCACCCCUUCCCAAAACUAAAACAGACACGCACACACUAGUUAGUAUUUACAUCAUGAACCUACUACUCAUUAUUUUGAACAACUUGCUGAUCAUGGAGUUUAUGCACGAACUGUGCUGCUGUGUUGUGUCCUGAGGGCUUGUACGAUGGUAUGCUCCUCUUUUUCAUGUUUCCUGUACACUGUAGCUUUCCUUUGCAUUUACAAGAUUGGGCCUUCCACCUGCUCCUUUUUGCUUCGACUCUUCACAACGGUAUCCAGGCCUGUAGGUACAUUUGCAAGAAAUUUUUGUUUCACAUUACGUUAUCCUCAGAGAAGCAUAAGUGUCAGUUCUCAAGAUUAAUUCGGCUGUUACUGACCUUAAUUAACCCAGUUUCUGUACCACAGAAAAUCAUGUCGUUUGCAGUGAACAAGCUCGUUAUCUUGCUUCCUGCAGAUAGCCUUCCUACUUUCUGCUGCUUCUCUCUCAACCAUAUCUAUCAUAAAUUCAGAAGCAGAAUCAGGACUCGUGAAUCCUGUAUUUUGUGGUCCAAGGAAUAGCUUCUAUUUUAGUUGCCUCAGUUGUGUUGUUGCUAGACCCUUUGAGGUCUUGUUGUUCGCUGUAUUACCCAAUCUAGGUUUCUUCUUUUUAAUAUAAGGAAGUGAGCCUAGCUCAACUGGUUGGGUGAGAGGUGUGGUCAUGCACCCAACCACCCAGGUUCAAGUCCACUCUUGGACUGAAUUUGGGUGCCUAUUUCUCUUCUUAAUGAUUAAUGAAAAACCACCUAGUCCUCCUAGGUUGAAUCUCGUUUUUUAAUAUAAUCGACAGCUCUCUUUCUUGAUUGGUUUAAAAGAACACACACGCUACAGCUUAUAUACUUUGAUUAAAUAAAAAAAACUAUAGAUGCUCGUCUCGAAACAUAGAGUUUUGGUUCCUGGUUCUUGAUAGUGAGUCCUAAAUGUUACUUCCAUUAGGUAUCAGGCAUGCAAUUGCAAUGGACCGGCCAACAACUUUCAGUGAGUUCAGACUGAAAAAUUUUGUCAUCAGAUACAGAUCUUCUGGUAGUAUAUUGUGCUCAAGCACUGGAAUUAUCCUGUCUUUUUCUUUUUCCAUAAAUUAGUGUAGCUCAGAUGGAAAAAAGGAAAGAAAUUCAUGUCACCUGAAUGAUACUAGGGCUUCUACUGCAGUUCAAGUAGAUGAAAUCUUCCACUACUUCCAUGGCCUCUACACUUGUUCCCUUUGGUAUUGGCAUGGUCAUAUUAGGUUUGCAUCGUUUCUUCCAAUCCUGGAAACAGUUCAAAAAAUUUCACAUUUCUUUUCAUCUCAUAGCUUAAAGAGGUCAAGUUUGAUCAUUUCAUUUUACCUUUAAGGCUGAUCCUUCGACCUGACCACCGGCACAGUACAUCCAAUCUCUGUAUACAACAAUGGAGCUAAUGGAUUGUUUGCUAAUCAUCCAGCUUCUUCUAGGUGCCCUUAUCUCAAUGUUGGAUUCAACUGACACGUCUAGUUCCUGUGACAAUCGUUCUUAUUAGAGACAUAUAUGUGUUGUAAACGUUUCUGACUUGUAACACAAGCCAUUCUCUUUAGACAUAGUGAUCGAAGAUACUAUUACGUGCUUUUGUAACAAAAAAAACUAACCUGUAUACUUGAGUCUUUGCAUCCAAGGUAAGCUUUUCCCUGAUAUACAGCUAGAGAUUUGACAUGCUUGCUCCUGUAAAAUGUUUGGCUGCUUCUUGAUGCACUAGAGAACUGUGACAGAAGCAAAGUAAAAACACCAUUAUUGUUAUGUGUUCCAUUUGUUGAGACAAUCACCAAGUGCAUAGUAAAUCAGUAAGUACCUUGAAAACGUUGUUCUGUGCAAGUACAAGAACUUUGUCACCACAAAUAUCAAGCUUUUGUACAGCCUCUCUUAUCUGAAUCAUCUCCACACACUCUAGCUUGCGCUGUGCCAUUUCCCAUACCUGCAAAUGAUAUUUUAAUUUAACAACCCACAAUUAAUUUUCUUUUGUGGUUUUAGCACUGCAGUUAGUUGGUUACCCGAAUAGAUUUGUCUGCUGAUCCACUCAGGAGGUUCUCCCCAGUUUCUGAUAGUGCAAAACAAGUCACCGCCUUCUUGUGCUCUUUUACCUCCCUGAUGAUUACUGCUCUCUGGCCUUUUAUGUCCCAUGCCUGCAGAGAACACCUGAGUAUUAGGAAUUUUUUUUAGUUAUGUAAAGACUACUGCAUUAACUGAAGCAAUGAACUUGCUGUAUCAGUACAGAGUUUCUACCUUUUUCCUAGUCCCUUGAGUCUUUCUAAAAUGAGUGCAGAUUUGGUGUGCAGGGGGCUGGCGCCCUCCUUAGCUAAAAUACCAUGUUGUAAUGUUUCAAAAAUCAUCACAACAAUCAUGUAUGUAGUACACAUAAAGUUAAGUAUAGACGCAACAAUUCAGUUUGAAAUUCAUCCUAGAUGCCAAGAAACAAAAUAGACAAGCAAUCAAUCUGGCACUGUUCAUCAUGUGCUGACAGUGACACUUCUGUGUUUUUUAAUCUCAGUAUCAAAGAUCAAUUUCAAUCUGAAUUGUUGCGGCUGCACUUAACUUUAGGUGUACUACAUACAUAAUUUUUGAAACAUUUUAACAUGGUAUUUUUGUCCUUUGGCUAACGAGGGCGCCAGCCCCCCUUGCCGCCAUAUGAUUUUCCUUCUAAAAAAGGGUUCCUUCUAAGUAACUUCUUUUACUCAAGAGAUUUUGAGCUAAUUUUGUAGGUAUGGGAAAUUUGAAACUAUGGUUAUGAUUUUAAUUCAGACAUAUAGAAUAUAUCAUUACCCUGAUGGUGCCAUUAGAAUAACCAGCAAAAAGCUGCCCUCUGAAGAAUGCUAUAGCAGUUGCUGCGCCAUUGCCUGGUUGUCCAAUUUCUAGAAUUUGUGUAUGUACACAUGAUACACGCUGCACUGACAAUAUCAGAUAAUUAUUUCUUAUGUUUAAGAAACAUUUCUCACAAAGGAAUAGCUAGAAAUGUUGUUAUAAUAAUUAUCUCAGCAUAGCUUCUGAAAUUAAUAAUAGCAAUCUUAAAGAACUUUUGAUUAGAUAUAAUCUUAGGCUCUUAGCUCCCAGUAUAAGAAGAUCUACUUGAUGGUCUGUUCUUGCUGUUACUUAGGAUGGCAUGCCUUGUUUUCUGGAACAGGGGUAGUAUGAAACAAACUAGGAAAGUGAAGGAGCUCAAAUCCAACAAUACUCACUGGUUUGCUGGAAAGAAAAUAAUCUGUAACUUGAAGUAACUCCUCAGCCAUCCAUGUGAAUGAUGAAAGCCUCCUAAGAGAUUCUCGGGAACCCUCUGACAAGCUCAUCAACAUUUGCUUUCCUGUUAUUAAAAAAUGGUAACUUGUAUAAAUUAUAAUGCUUGGAGCUUUCCUUCAUCUUUAGAUUGGAUGUUUAUGUUCCAAAAGUCUUUAAGAUGUGCAAAAUACCUAUUGAAUUGUACUAAAUACCAAAACCAUUUAAUUGUAACUGGAUAGAAGAUAGUGAUGAUGUACUAUUUACCUUUUCCAGAGGUGUAAUUAUAGAGACACAUGCAUGCUAGAACCCUUUCGUCAAGCUCAUUUCCUGGAUGAAGGUGACUUGCUAUGUCAUGCAACAAGAUCUCACAAGCAGAAUAUCUUAUGGCAUUUUCAC